rnacentral:rRNA from 1 species
GAUGAACGCUAGCUACAGGCUUAACACAUGCAAGUCGAGGGACCGGCGCACGGGUGAGUAACACGUAUCCAACCUGCCCUUUACUCGGAGAUAGCCUUUCGAAGGAAAGAUUAAUACCCGAUAUAAAGGAUGGGGAUGCGUUCCAUUAGGUUCUUGGUGAGGUAACGGCCAACCAAGCCUUCGACGGAUAGGGGUGCUUAGAGGAAGGUCCCCCACAUUGGAACGGAGACACGGACCAACCUCCUACGGUAGGAAGCAGUGAGGAAUAUUGGUAAAUGGGCGUUAGCCUGAACCAGCCAAGUAGCGUGAAGGAUGAAGGCUUAUGGGUCGUAAACUUCUUUUAUAUAAGAAUAUGUAUUAUAUGAAUAAGGAUCGGCUAACUCCGUGCCAGCAGCCGCGGUAAUUC